GGCCUGUUAGCUCACCUGGUUAGAGCAUGGUGUUGGUAACGCCAAGGUCAAGGGUUCCAAUCCCUUUAUGGGCCA